GACGAACGCUGGCGGCGUGCUUAACACAUGCAAGUCGAGCGGUAAGGCCUUUCGGGGUACACGAGCGGCGAACGGGUGAGUAACACGUGGGUGAUCUGCCCUGCACUUCGGGAUAAGCCUGGGAAACUGGGUCUAAUACCGGAUAUGACCUCCUAUCGCAUGGUGGGUGGUGGAAAGAUUUAUCGGUGCAGGAUGGGCCCGCGGCCUAUCAGCUUGUUGGUGGGGUAAUGGCCUACCAAGGCGACGACGGGUAGCCGACCUGAGAGGGUGACCGGCCACACUGGGACUGAGACACGGCCCAGACUCCUACGGGAGGCAGCAGUGGGGAAUAUUGCACAAUGGGCGAAAGCCUGAUGCAGCGACGCCGCGUGAGGGAUGACGGCCUUCGGGUUGUAAACCUCUUUCAGCAGGGACGAAGCGCAAGUGACGGUACCUGCAGAAGAAGCACCGGCUAACUCCG
rnacentral:rRNA from 1 species